GGAGAGGUGGCUGAGCGGUUUAAGGUGCUCGCUUGGAAAGCGAGUGAGGGUUAACGCCCUCCACGGGUUCGAAUCCCGUCCUCUCCGCCA
rnacentral:tRNA from 2 species